rnacentral:rRNA from 1 species
GAUGAACGCUAGCGGCAGGCUUAAUACAUGCAAGUCGUGGGGCAGCAUGAAGUAGCAAUACUUUGAUGGCGACCGGCAAACGGGUGCGGAACACACACACAACCUUCCUUUUAGUGGGGAAUAGCCCAGAGAAAUUUGGAUUAAUACCCCGUAACAUAGCGAUGUGGCAUCACAUUGCUAUUAUAGCUUCGGCGCUAGAUGAUGGGUGUGCAUAUGAUUAGACAGUUGGCGAGGUAACGGCUCACCAAGUCUACGAUCAUUAGCUGAUGUGAGAGCAUGAUCAGCCACACGGGCACUGAGACACGGGCCCGACUCCUACGGGAGGCAGCAGUAAGGAAUAUUGGUCAAUGGACGAAAGUCUGAACCAGCCAUGCCGCGUGAAGGAUUAAGGUCCUCUGGAUUGUAAACUUCUUUUAUAUGGGACGAAAAAAGGUCUUUCUAGAUCACUUGACGGUACCAUAUGAAUAAGCACCGGCUAACUCCGUGCCAGCAGCCGCCGUAAUAC